rnacentral:rRNA from 1 species
UACGGAGGGGGCUAGCGUUGUUCGGAAUUACUGGGCGUAAAGCGCACGUAGGCGGCUUUGUAAGUUAGAGGUGAAAGCCCGGGGCUCAACUCCGGAAUUGCCUUUAAGGCUGCAUCGCUAGAAUUGUGGAGAGGUAAGUGGAAUUCCGAGUGUAGAGGUGAAAUUCGUAGAUAUUCGGAAGAACACCAGUGGCGAAGGCGGCUCACUGGCCCGUUACCGACGCUCAGGCGCGACAGCGUGGGGAGCAAACAGG